UGGUGCGACCAUACCAAUACUAACGCAUCGAAUCCCAUCAGAUCUCCGAAGUUAAGUGUGCUCGGGCGAGAGUAGUACUAGGAUGGGUGAACCCCUGGGACGUCCUCGUGUUGCACCCC
rnacentral:rRNA from 1 species